UGAAUCCAACAUCCCCCUCUCCGAUCCCUGUCCUGGGACACACAAAUACAUGGAGAUUCGCUACAGCUGUGUUACGCCCCCAUCUAUAAAGAUCUGUGACAACUUCACCCUGGCCCUGGACUGUGGUCCUUCAAAGGUGAUCGAGAUUCAUAAUGCUGCAUAUGGGCGCAGAAGAGGAGAUAGUCGCACCUGUUCGAGUCACCUGAGGAAUGCCACUGCAGCAGAGAGGCGCACAAGACUC